rnacentral:rRNA from 1 species
GCUCAGAUUGAACGCUGGCGGCAGGCCUAACACAUGCUAGUCGAACGGUAACAGGAAGAAGCUUGCUUCUUUGCUGACGAGUGGCGGACGGGUGAGUAAUGUCUGGGAAACUGCCUGAUGGAGGGGGAUAACUACUGGAAACGGUAGCUAAUACCGCAUAACGUCGCAAGACCAAAGAGGGGGACCUUCGGGCCUCUUGCCAUCGGAUGUGCCCAGAUGGGAUUAGCUUGUUGGUGGGGUAACGGCUCACCAAGGCGACGAUCCCUAGCUGGUCUGAGAGGAUGACCAGCCACACUGGAACUGAGACACGGUCCAGACUCCUACGGGAGGCAGCAGUGGGGAAUAUUGCACAAUGGGCGCAAGCCUGAUGCAGCCAUGCCGCGUGUAUGAAGAAGGCCUUCGGGUUGUAAAGUACUUUCAGCGGGGAGGAAGGGAGUAAAGUUAAUACCUUUGCUCAUUGACGUUACCCGCAGAAGAAGCACCGGCUAACUCCGUGCCAGCAGCCGCGGUAAUACGGAGGGUGCAAGCGUUAAUCGGAAUUACUGGGCGUAAAGCGCACGCAGGCGGUUUGUUAAGUCAGAUGUGAAAUCCCCGGGCUCAACCUGGGAACUGCAUCUGAUACUGGCAAGCUUGAGUCUCGUAGAGGGGGGUAGAAUUCCAGGUGUAGCGGUGAAAUGCGUAGAGAUCUGGAGGAAUACCGGUGGCGAAGGCGGCCCCCAGGACGAAGACUGACGCUCAGGUGCGAAAGCGUGGGGAGCAAACAGGAUUAGAUACCCUGGUAGUCCACGCCGUAAACGAUGUCGACUUGGAGGUUGUGCCCUUGAGGCGUGGCUUCCGGAGCUAACGCGUUAAGUCGACCGCCUGGGGAGUACGGCCGCAAGGUUAAAACUCAAAUGAAUUGACGGGGGCCCGCACAAGCGGUGGAGCAUGUGGUUUAAUUCGAUGCAACGCGAAGAACCUUACCUGGUCUUGACAUCCACGGAAGUUUUCAGAGAUGAGAAUGUGCCUUCGGGAACCGUGAGACAGGUGCUGCAUGGCUGUCGUCAGCUCGUGUUGUGAAAUGUUGGGUUAAGUCCCGCAACGAGCGCAACCCUUAUCCUUUGUUGCCAGCGGUCCGGCCGGGAACUCAAAGGAGACUGCCAGUGAUAAACUGGAGGAAGGUGGGGAUGACGUCAAGUCAUCAUGGCCCUUACGACCAGGGCUACACACGUGCUACAAUGGCGCAUACAAAGAGAAGCGACCUCGCGAGAGCAAGCGGACCUCAUAAAGUGCGUCGUAGUCCGGAUUGGAGUCUGCAACUCGACUCCAUGGAGUCGGAAUCGCUAGUAAUCGUGGAUCAGAAUGCCACGGUGAAUACGUUCCCGGGCCUUGUACACACCGCCCGUCACACCAUGGGAGUGGGUUGCAAAAGAAGUAGGUAGCUUAACCUUCGGGAGGGCGCUUACCACUUUGUGAUU